GGUCCCGCAGAAGUGCAGCUGGCUGGCCCAUAUUGCCCAGCAAGCCCCUGUAGAUCAUCUAAACCCCAGCAGCGCAUCUUCCUCACCUGUGUGAGCAGGACGGAGGUUGGCCAGAGCUACGAUCUGGUGCCCAGCAGCAACACACUGCAUCAUGUUGUAGCAGCUGUCUUUGCCCCCACUGGAAAACAACAUGAGGAAUAGGCACAGAGCCUUGACUAACGUGGUGGUGCAAUUGACAGACCGACCUGCCUUCAGAUGGACCAACCAGCCACCUUUGCCACCAGAGCCAUGCUGCUUGUGUGACUAAAGCUAAGCAAUGGUUAACACUGAUUCAUCUGCUGGCUGUACUACCUGCCUCUCAUCUGUGGGAGUGGGGUUUGAUGCCUUCAAGUACCAGCCAGCUAUAAAAGACACAUCCUGAUGGGCCUUCCUCUGUUGUGUUUAAUAGCUGUCUCUAGCCCCCCACCCCUCCAUCCUGACCUCCGCCACCACACCCACCCUCGGUCUCUUCGCUGGCCCUUGGCUAACCCCUCAUAUUCAGGGUUCAGGGUCAGGGCAGCAGACUCCCAGCCAAUUGGGUGGUUGCCCAGAGGAGCUGAUGCAGCCAUGAGCAGCAGGAGAGACGUAAGAGACUCCUCUGAUGUUCCCAAGAAGUUCCAAAGAGGGAGCGGCUGCGGUGUGUUUACAACAUCUUUAAUUUAGGGAGAGAACGCUUACACAGAGCAUGACGAAAGAGCGGUACAGUGUAUAAAUAAGUGUCACGUAAAAAAGAAGUAUGUGACUCAAUGUAGUCAAACAGCUGAAUGAAGGCAGAUAAAAGAAUGACAUGCACAUUAAUGCUUUCUUUGAUGUGGGUCAGUGACUCGAACCCUAAUUUGUGCGCACACUGUGUUUCAUUUCAAUGUCAUGCUCUGUGUUAAAUUCUAAACACCUGAAGAUGAAAACAAUCAAAGACACAGAGGUGACAUUUCUUUAAGACUACUGGACAGUUGGGGAGAAAAUGAUUAAAAGGGAGCAAUAAAGACAAAAACUGAGAUGAGAGAAAGAAGAGACAACAUCUAAUCUCUCUAUGAAUUGUGUGUGUUAAGCUAAUUCCACAGUGAAUGCUCUCUGCUGUUCAUUUCUAUUAACAACGUCUCUUCCGGCCCUGAGAACACUGAUUCAAGAGCCUGGUAUCUGCUGCUUCCUGCUGCAGGACAAAGAGAGCACUGACAUCUAUGCACACAGACUCCUCUAGCAUUUUUAGAUCACUUGCGUGUGAAUCUUUGACUUUAUCAAUUUAUGAUGUCUGUAGUUCUUUAGUUUCCUGCGGAUAUGUAACACCAUUCAGCUGUUGUUCCGUCAUCUAGGCCACUUAUUUCCUAAGCAACUAUGAUUGCACCGCAAACCGACACAAUGGAUAUAACUCUGUUAAGGAAUGUAUUUCACAGUAAAGACAACAAUGAUACAAACAAUAACACCCACAUAGCCUACCUCCUGAAAUGGAUUAUUUGGACAAAUGUUCGCUGCUUAUGACUCUCUGAUGGCUUCAUUUUUCACUCUGUAUAACUUGCUAAUUUUUACUGCUCAAUGUCCUCCACUCAGCCCAUGUCACUAAGUCAUAAGCAUGCUGCUUCUGGCUGAUAUAUGGGUCUGCACGAUGAUGUCAGCGAAAAACACUUUCAAUAAUUGCUAUGAUUAAUAUUCUCAACCUUCCAACACCUUCCCUUCUCCAUCCAGCCCGAUAUCUCCAGCGAGGUUCAUCUAUCAGUCUGCUCUCAAACUGUUUAAGUCCUCCGAGUGAUGCAUGGCACCCUGCCAACCCCGUUUCCAAAGCAAGCUAUUUACAUUCAUUCAAAUUAUGAGUCGAUGAGCCUCCAGUGCAUAAAAUUACUAUGAGUCAAAGAGGUAAAAAGAGAGAGAGGACCAGAGUAUUUACUGUUUAAUUGUUUCAACUUCAUUGUGCAACGCCAGGGAAUCUUCCCUUUGUGUCCGUUAAAAUUAUGACAUCUGAACAUAUUUUGUUGGCCUUCUUUUCCAAACAGACUUCACUAUUAGUUAUUAAGUGAAUCAAUGUGAAUUGUACAGAUAGAAAAGUGUUUAUCCACAUUUACCCUGCUCAUGUACAUGUCCAUGAUGUCCUGCAGCUGGCUGCACUGCAUGGCUGGAAUGUGCAUGGAGCUUUCACAGGACGGGUUUCCUCUUGGCCUGCACACUAAUUGUUUAGGAGGAAAAAGGUGAAACAGAUAUGUAUAAACAGCGGAGGUCUUCCAGAAAGUCGGGAGAGGCCUAGAGGUCCUGGGACAGUAGCUGACCUGUCAUAUUCACCAUUCACACUGAGGAGUCAGGUCUGCCAUAUUCUGUCUAGUGGCGUCAGACAAAAUAAACUGUCACUUCCUCAAUGUUGAUGGACAAAUUCAUAUUCCAGUGGGAAACACUUCUCAUACACACAGGCUUUGAAUAAGUCAGGCUGUCCAGAGUAUGUAUACAGUAAUAAAACAGAUAAUGCAGUAGUGUAUAUAGUAGAUAAUUGUUCACUAAAUGAACUGUAGCCAGUCUAAAUUAAUGCUUCAAGUUCUACCCAGUAAAUAAACCUCAUGUACCCUCUGGGUCCAAAGGAAAGGUUUAGGACAUUCUGCAGUGUAUGU